rnacentral:rRNA from 1 species
UGGCGGACGGGUGAGUAAUGUCUGGGAAACUGCCUGAUGGAGGGGGAUAACUACUGGAAACGGUAGCUAAUACCGCAUAACGUCGCAAGACCAAAGAGGGGGACCUUCGGGCCUCUUGCCAUCGGAUGUGCCCAGAUGGGAUUAGCUAGUAGGUGGGGUAAAGGCUCACCUAGGCGACGAUCCCUAGCUGGUCUGAGAGGAUGCCAGCCACACUGGAACUGAGACACGGUCCAG